rnacentral:lncRNA from 1 species
CACUCAUACCCGCUCAUUUUUAUGGGUAAUUACUCAUACCAAUGCAUGUAUCCAAAUGUGGGUUUUACUCUACUUGUUGCGGGUAUUUUUUCCGGGUGCCCACUGUGGAUGGGUCAAAUUUUCAUCCUUAUUGACUAAUCAUAUUUAAGAGACACGUAGUAAAGAAAAUACACAAUAUUUUUUAAUAAUUAUUGACUAUAAUUUGUUUUGAAACUAUAAUAAAGAAAAUACACAAUUUCUUAUUAAAAAAAUACACAAUUUUUGUUUUUUGAUGUAGAGCUGUUAAAAUGGACUAACUUGUUUGGCUGUCUUGUCAAACCCGAAUAUAUAUAGAGUUUGAACCUUAAAAUAUUAGCCCGAUUCUUUUUUAUGGCUUUU